UCAUGUGUGCUUAAACCUCAAAGUGGAUUAAUAGCCAACCAGUGAGGAUCAACAGUUCAAAUCAUUUCAAUAAGCCAUCAGUUAUUUGGAUUUAUCAAUAAAGAUGUUGUUUACCAUUCUAAUUGUCAUAUAUUCAAUCAGCUCAAUAAACUGUGAACGCUGUGAUUGUGGAUACAGUGAAAGUUAUGUUGGAUCUCGUAUUUACGGUGGAUCAGCAGUAACAUCUUAUGAAUAUCCUUGGAUGGCUCAUCUUAGGUUUUUUGAGAAACCUGGAGGAGAUAGGUUCGGACUGUGUGGUGGAUUCUUGGUUGACUCUAAACAUGUGGUAACUGCUGCUCAUUGUAUUCAUGAUGGAAACCAAAAACUACGAAGUAUCGAGGCAACUGAAGUAUAUCUUGGUGUUCGUGAUUUAACCAAUCUCAACACAGCUCAUAAAGUGGCCAAAUUUUUUUACCCAACAACCUACAAAAGGCGUAAUUUAUUGAAUGAUAUCGCUGUUCUUGAACUAGCUGAGCCAGUCAAUUUCACAAGAACUGUCAGUCCAAUUUGUUUGCCUAAGAGUGACGAUGAACCUUAUAAAGUACUGCAAGUUGCUGGUUUUGGACGACUUGGGGCCAAUUCAAAUCCUUCAAAAGUUUUAAUGCAUGUUCAGGUUGAAUAUAUAAAAGAUAAUAAAUGCAAUCAAAUGAUCAAAGAUUAUUUCAUGCGUACCAAUCCAAAUAUAGCCCAAUCGCCCAAGGAUUAUGAUGUACCUAAAGUUCAUGAAACUCAUAUGUGCUGCGUUGACACAAAGACAGGUGGAGAUGCGUGUCGCGGUGAUUCGGGUGGUGCCUUAAUGUACAAGAGUGGGGGAAGAUAUUUCGCCGUGGGUUUAGUCUCGGGUGCUUUCGAUGAGUGCGAUGAUCCAAGAACACCAGGCUUUUAUACAAUUGUGCGGAAAUUUAGAGGCCUCAUUAGUAGAACUGCGAAAAAUGCACAAUUCUGUAAUUAUUAACAAAUAUUAGAUUAUUUUUUCAACACCAAAGUCAGCUCAAGCUACGAGCUAAUUGCUGCUUCUAGAUGGGAAUUAUUAAAAAAAACAAUUUAAUAAGUUUUUUAUGAGAUUUUUUGAAAAAAAUGUCAAAAGGCUCUCAAGGUUCCUUAAUCUUUGGUCAAAAGGCUCUUGCUUAGAGUCGAGAUGAAUGGUUAACUUAACCGUCUCACAAGAAGCUUAUAAGAAGUUUAAAGAGGAAUAGAUUUCAAAUGAAGUUUUUAAAUCUACCAAUAGAUGUCACUCGGAUAAAUUUUGUCUGAUAAUUUGACGCUUGUUUACAAGUGUUGCUUUGAAAAAGUAACCGGCGAUUACUUGGUCAGUAUAACUACGGGUGUGUUAUUUGGUGGUUACUGGGUAUCUUAACAAUUCUUAGGAAAGUUUCCAUAUCUUUUAAGCUGCAGCUCCCUCUUCCUCUGCUCCUCUUAACUUUUUAUCGCUCUCAUCUGUAGGUCUCGUUGGCGUGCUCUCUCUUGCUAUUGCUUUGGCCUACCUACCAAUUUUAUUGUAUUGCAUUAGAUCAACUCUGUGAGCUUUAGUCGUCCCAUUUUCAUUCGUGCCCUGUCAAUAUGGAUAAAUCUGAAACCUCGAACAAACGUCAAGCUAAACCUAGAGUGCAUAUCAAUCAAAAUGAAAUGAAAAACUUUCGAUCUUUGAUAUGUGAUGAAAGUGGCAUCAUUAUUGGUGAGAUGGUGUAUCGGUGUUUAAUCUGUUCCUUUAUCAGUGAAUCAAUGGAUAAAGUUCGAGCACAUCAUAAGAUAACACAUGGUGACAUCGAAGAUAUAAGCAGUGGUAAAUUCAGUUAUGUAAAAAGCGAACAUUGUGUCUAACAAUUAUUGAAAAGAGUGAGAAAUAUCACGCAAGAUAAUUCGACUAAAAUCUUUCCCAAAUCAAUAAUAAAUGUACCUAAUUUUAUAUAAUUGUAAUCAAAUAAAUUAUACUUUUUUGGAACAA